rnacentral:lncRNA from 1 species
CAGGUCCUGUGACAACAGGUACGGGCCAGCAUUGGGACAGGCUUUGCCUGUAAGAGGGCUGGUCUGGGGGGACAUCUGAACCCAAUUCAGGAACACCUCACAGGUCUGCCAGCAGGGCUAGACCCGGGGUGAGAUCCAGGGCAACAGGGUCUGCCUGGGAAGCUCAGCUCCGGCACUGCCUGGGGCGUCUCUGCCUACACAGGACCAUUCCUCUCGCCUGGACUCCUCUUGGAGUUUGCCAAGGCUGGCCUCUGCAGAAAUAGGAGACUCCUGGAGGAAGACAGUGGACUUCAGCAAGCUGCACCAAGGAGAAUCCACAGCGGCAGCUGCCCUGCCAGGCGCGGGAUCUCGGUCAAGGUGGAUCAACACAGCCUCAGGUGUGUGCUCUGCCCCACUGAGAUGGCAAGUGCAUUCUUUUCUAUUCCUACGAGGAAAGAGCAUCCGAAAGAGCCUGCCUUCACAUAGGAUGAAUAACAGUGGACCUUGGCUUUGCCUCAGUGUUAUGUGCUAAUAAACCAUGUAUUCUAUGCCCUAAGGAAGCCCAGAGAGAACUGGACAAGCUGGAUAUCCCAAAGAGCAUGGCACUGGCCCACCACAUUGAUUACAUUGCGCUGGCCGGGUGCUAACCAAGAAGCAGCUAACACACUGGGAGUCUUGGUAAGAUGCCUGAGUGCCUGCAGCUGGCAGACAAAUCCUACAAAGAUUCUGGGAACUGCCACUAAUAACACUCUUGGUGGGGAGGUCCCAUAUCCCAUAACCAGGAGCAUACUGGGCCUCCUGUCCACAGCAAAGAGCCAAUUACUGCAUCUUGCAUCUCCCAUGACCAAGAGAGACAGACAAUGCCAGUACGCCUUCUGGAGGCAGCACGUUCCACACACAUGAAGACUACUCCAGCCUAUGUACCAUUGAUAGGAGAAGCUGUCGGCCUUCCCUGAGCCUGCAGCAGGUCGAGGCUGCAGUGCUGGCAGCCCUGUGACUCAGGCCCUGCAGCUGGUCGGACCCUGUGUUAUGAGAGGUAUCAGACGUGGGAAAGCAAUGCUGUGUGUUUAUGGCAAACCACUAUGCCAGAAUCACAGUGCAGGCCCCUGGGAUUCAGAAACAAAGCCGUGCCAUCUGCGGCAGAGGAUUCUGCGAAAAAUUCUGAAAAGUCCCUGUUGAUGUGCUCCUGGGGCCUGGGGUGAUGGAAUACCUGAUUGUGCAUGUGGAACUGCUCAGAUGAGCUGGAUUCUGUCUCACCCCUGGGUCAUGAGGUUGGGGACUCAGAAAUAACCCAUCACAGGUGGGAGUGUGCGUGUGGCAGCAGCAGAAGCAGGAGCAGGAGGCCAAGCAGCGGCAGCUGCCCAGUACCCCCCCCCACCCUCCACAGCAGUCCCCACAGCCCCAGUGGAGGAACCUUCUGGUGAACUGAGGAGGGAGGGACAAGCCCGGCCUCAGUUCAUGGAGGUGUCUGCUCUGCCUGUGGGGCCAGCCCAAAUCGCCUGGCUGCCAUACUCCAGUCUCAGCAAGCUGCCCUUUAAAGAGGGUGAUAUGGUUUGGCUCUGUGUCCCCACCCAAAUCUCAUCUUGAACUGUAAUCCCCAGGUGAUGAGGGUGAGACCUGAUGGGAAGUGAUUGGAUCAUGGGGGCUGUUUUCCCCAUGCUGUUCUCGUGAUAGUGAAGGAGUUCUCAUGAGAUCUGAUGGUUUUAUAAAAAAAAAAAAAAAAAAAAAAAAAAAAAAAAAAAAAAAA